CAGGAUGAACGCUAGCGAUAGGCCUAACACAUGCAAGUCGAGGGGCAGCACAUGACGUAGCAAUACAGAUGGUGGCGACCGGCGCACGGGUGAGUAACACGUAUGCAACCUACCUCCACUGGAGAAUAACCCGUUGAAGGACGGGCUAAUACUCCAUAAUACAGGGGUCCCGCAUGGGAAUAUUUGUUAAAGAAUUUUCGGUAGAAGAUGGGCAUGCGUUCCAUUAGCUAGUUGGUUGAGGUAACGGCUCACCAAGGCAACGAUGGAUAGGGGAACUGAGAGGUUUAUCCCCCACACUGGUACUGAGACACGGACCAGACUCCUACGGGAGGCAGCAGUGAGGAAUAUUGGUCAAUGGAGGCAACUCUGAACCAGCCACGUCGCCGUGAAGGAUGACGGCCCUAUGGGUUGUAAACUUCUUUUAUACAGGAAUAAAGUGAGCCACGAGUUGGUUUUUUGCAUGUACUGUAUGAAUAAGGAUCGGCUAACUCCGUGCCAGCCGCCGC
rnacentral:rRNA from 1 species